rnacentral:rRNA from 1 species
CAGCAGCCGCGGGAAUACGUAGGUGGCAAGCGUUGUCCGGAAUUAUUGGGCGUAAAGGGCUCGCAGGCGGUUUCUUAAGUCUGAUGUGAAAGCCCCCGGCUCAACCGGGGAGGGUCAUUGGAAACUGGGAAACUUGAGUGCAGAAGAGGAGAGUGAAAUUCCACGUGUAGCGGUGAAAUGCGUAGAGAUGUGGAGGAACACCAGUGGCGAAGGCGACUCUCUGGUCUGUAACUGACGCUGAGGAGCGAAAGCGUGGGGAGCGAACAGGAUUAGAUACCCCCGUAGUCCCUGUCUCUUAUAA